CAGGGAUGCUCGCCCUAGGCGCGGCGCACUGAGCAUGCGCCCUCUCGCGGCCCCGCCCCUGACAGGCCCCGCCCAGGAAAGGCCACGCCCCAGUUCCCGCCCCCUGGUCGGCCGCAGCCCGGCUUUCCUUCAGCUGCAAGGAUCCCGGCCCCAGGCUCGGCGCACUGAGCAUGCGCAGUCCCGCUUUCGCCCCACCCAUACCCUCGGCCACGCCCUCGUACCCGCCCCUGGCUGGCUCCCCUCCAGCCGCAGGCACUUCGGCCCGGGCGCACUGAGCAUGCCCAGCCUCGUUCCCGCCCAGUCCACGCCUAGGCCACGCCCCUGGCCACGCCCUCUACCAUCUUUCUCCAGCCGCUGGCAUCUCGGCCCCAGGUUCGGCUCAUUGAGCAUGCGCCGCCCUCUCCAGCCCGGGUCCCGCGCGUCUGCUUUGUACUCAUCACUCGGAUGCUCGCCGGGGCGGACAUCCUCCGCGUCCCUGGCGCCGGGCCGCUGCCCCUGCCACUGCUGGGAAGGCAAGGGAAGGAUGGGCGGAGAGAGGCCUGGUAGGAGCUCCCAUCUGAGCAGAGAGAACUGGUAUUUAUGAAAACGCUGGACGAAGGAAGGACUGAGGGUCGUCCGGACUGAGUGGCACAGCCAGGAGUCCGUGGUUGACUCAUCUCUUGAGUCUCGAUUCAGAAGCCGGCCCUGCUCUGCUGGCUCCACGCCUGGGCCACCCUUCCCUGGGUCUGCUCCCCGCCUGGAUGACGGAGGCCGACGGGUCCUUAGAUGAAUAACGUGAUGGAAGGGAGCUCGCGUUAUGACCGCAUUUCCUGUUCUGAGGCUGGGCUGAAGGCGAGCUCAGAAUGGCCAUGCAGGACGAGUGUGAAUUCCACGGCGCUGGGCGACUGAGUCACGCCGCACCUUUCCUGCCCCGCCCUGCCCAGCAGAGUCCCCGGGGCUAGGCGUGUGUCAGUAAUGCCAUCUGCCCAUCCGCGGUUCCCACCUGAGCUAGCUCCUACAGGUGAGGCUUCCGCAGCCCGCCACCCACCCGCCAUCAUCGCACCGUGUUGGUGGGGAGGCAGAGCAGCCGGGGUUAACUGGACUGUGCUCUGAGGAGUCCUAAUUGGGGACCUGAAUCUGAGCUUUUUUAAAACAUAACAAAAAACCCCCACAAACAUGCCCAGGCUGGUUUGGCUCAGUGGAUAGAGUGUCGGCCUGUGGACUCAAGGGUCCCGGGUUCGAUUCCGGCCAAGGGCACAUGCAAGGGGGUUGCAGGCUCGAUCCCCAGUAGGGGGCGUGCAGGAGGCAGCCGAUCCAUGAUUCUCUCUCAUCAUGGAUGAUUCUAUCCCUCUCUCCCU